GAAGAUUUCCCACGAAGUCUUCGGGAAGUUUUCCGAAAUCUUCUGCCCAAAGUGGUACAAAGGAAUGAUGUCAAGUGGAGUCCAACCUUAUCUAUGUUGAGGAAUGAUAUCUAGCUCUAUGUGUAAUAGUUUUGUUUAUAAUAUGUUUUAUGAUUUGUAAGUGUACUAUUUUAGUUGUUAAUUUUUUUGUAAACUUGAAGAGAUGUUAAUCAAAAAAAUUUGAUAUAUAUGUUCAUGUUUUUCCAAAAGUACCUGACAUUAAUGAAGUUAUAUAUACAACAUACCAAAAAAAAAAAAUUUAACCAUUCUACUCACUCAUAACAAAACACAACAAAACAAAAACUUAGUCAAAUUUACUAAAACUAAGAGAGAAGACUUCACAAGAAAACUUAGUCAAAUCACAAAAGAUCAAACUUGAAUUUUAAGUGAAAGU
rnacentral:lncRNA from 1 species